rnacentral:rRNA from 1 species
UACGGGGGGGGCAAGCGUUGUUCGGAAUUACUGGGCGUAAAGGGCUCGUAGGCGGCCAACUAAGUCAGACGUGAAAUCCCUCGGCUUAACCGGGGAACUGCGUCUGAUACUGGAUGGCUUGAGUUUGGGAGAGGGAUGCGGAAUUCCAGGUGUAGCGGUGAAAUGCGUAGAUAUCUGGAGGAACACCGGUGGCGAAGGCGGCAUCCUGGACCGGCAUUGACGCUGAGGAGCGAAAGCCAGGGGAGCAAAGCGGGG